rnacentral:misc_RNA from 1 species
CGAUUCAGAACAACCUUACUCGUCCGAUGCGCGCUGCCGCCAUUGCCAGAGGAGACGCAGGAGCCUUCAACCUGUGGGCCGGACAGGCGGCGAGCAUGGCGCGUCGUGGUCCGGCGGCGGCGCUAGUUUCGGCGCUGAUUGCGGAGGCCAAUGAGGUCGUUCGGAGGCUCGCACUGAGUCCACGCCACGGGUGACCGCCAACGCCGACUGGAGGUUCGGCGUAAUACUCUUUAUAGAUGUGCGUCGACUAUUGCUGAAGCCAUCUAUUCAAGACGGCCGGUCCCACCUCGGAACUCAGCGACCCCAAC